AGAGUUUGAUCAUGGCUCAGGACGAACGCUGGCGGCGUGCCUAAUACAUGCAAGUCGAGCGAGCGGAACCAACAGAUUUACUUCGGUAAUGACGUUGGGAAAGCGAGCGGCGGAUGGGUGAGUAACACGUGGGGAACCUGCCCCUAAGUCUGGGAUACCAUUUGGAAACAGGUGCUAAUACCGGAUAAUAAAGCAGAUCGCAUGAUCAGCUUUUGAAAGGCGGCGUAAGCUGUCGCUAAGGGAUGGCCCCGCGGUGCAUUAGCUAGUUGGUAAGGUAACGGCUUACCAAGGCGACGAUGCAUAGCCGAGUUGAGAGACUGAUCGGCCACAUUGGGACUGAGACACGGCCCAAACUCCUACGGGAGGCAGCAGUAGGGAAUCUUCCACAAUGGACGCAAGUCUGAUGGAGCAACGCCGCGUGAGUGAAGAAGGUUUUCGGAUCGUAAAGCUCUGUUGUUGGUGAAGAAGGAUAGAGGUAGUAACUGGCCUUUAUUUGACGGUAAUCAACCAGAAAGUCACGGCUAACUACGUGCCAGCAGCCGCGGUAAUACGUAGGUGGCAAGCGUUGUCCGGAUUUAUUGGGCGUAAAGCGAGCGCAGGCGGAAAAAUAAGUCUAAUGUGAAAGCCCUCGGCUUAACCGAGGAACUGCAUCGGAAACUGUUUUUCUUGAGUGCAGAAGAGGAGAGUGGAACUCCAUGUGUAGCGGUGGAAUGCGUAGAUAUAUGGAAGAACACCAGUGGCGAAGGCGGCUCUCUGGUCUGCAACUGACGCUGAGGCUCGAAAGCAUGGGUAGCGAACAGGAUUAGAUACCCUGUAGUCCAUGCCGUAAAC
rnacentral:rRNA from 1 species